rnacentral:tRNA from 1 species
GCGCCCGUAGCUCAGAUGGAUAGAGCGUCUGCCUCCGGAGCAGAAGGCCGCAGGUUCGAAUCCUGCCGGGCGUACAA